GUGCUCACUUUGGCAGCACACAUACUAAAAUUGGAAUGAUACAGAGCUUAGUCUGGCCCCCGUGAGAGGAUAACAUGCAAAUUUGUGAAGCAUUCCAUUUUUUA
rnacentral:snRNA from 1 species